rnacentral:rRNA from 1 species
CCUACGGGAGGCAGCAGUGGGGAAUAUUGCACAAUGGGCGCAAGCCUGAUGCAGCGACUCCGCGUGGGGGAUGACGGCNUUCGGGUUGUAAACCUCUUUCGCUAGGGACGAAGCCAUCCUUUGGGGGUGGUGACGGUACCUGGAUAAGAAGCCCCGGCUAACUACGUGCCAGCAGCCGCGGUAAUACGUAGGGUGCGAGCGUUGUCCGGAAUUACUGGGCGUAAAGAGCUCGUAGGUGGUUUGUCGCGUCGUCUGUGAAAUUCCGGGGCUUAACUCCGGGCGUGCAGGCGAUACGGGCAAUACUUGAGUGCUGUAGGGGAGACUGGAAUUCCUGGUGUAGCGGUGAAAUGCGCAGAUAUCAGGAGGAACACCAAUGGCGAAGGCAGGUCUCUGGGCAGUAACUGACGCUGAGGAGCGAAAGCAUGGGUAGCGAACAGGAUUAGAUACCCUGGUAGUCCAUGCCGUAAACGGUGGGCGCUAGGUGUAGGGGUCUUCCACGACUUCUGUGCCGUAGCUAACGCAUUAAGCGCCCCNCCUGGGGAGUACGGCCGCAAGGCUAAAACUCAAAUGAAUUGACGGGG